GAUGAACGCUAGCGGCAGGCCUAAUACAUGCAAGUCGGACGGGAUCCAUUGAUAGCUUGCUAUCAAUGGUGAGAGUGGCGCACGGGUGCGUAACGCGUGAGCAACCUGCCUCCAUCAGGGGGAUAGCUUCUCGAAAGAGAGAUUAACACCGCAUAAUAUCAACAGUUCGCAUGUUCAGUUGAUUAAAUAUUUAUAGGAUGGAGAUGGGCUCGCGUGACAUUAGCUAGUUGGUAGGGUAACGGCUUACCAAGGCGACGAUGUCUAGGGGCUCUGAGAGGAGAAUCCCCCACACUGGUACUGAGACACGGACCAGACUCCUACGGGAGGCAGCAGUAAGGAAUAUUGGGCAAUGGGCGGAAGCCUGAACCAGCCAUGCCGCGUGCAGGAUGACUGCCCUAUGGGUUGUAAACUGCUUUUGUCCAGGAAUAAACCUAAAUACGAGUAUUUAGCUGAAUGUACUGGAAGAAUAAGAAUCGGCUAACUCCGUG
rnacentral:rRNA from 1 species